ensembl:snRNA U6 U6 spliceosomal RNA
AUGCUCGCUUUGGCAGCACAUAUACUAAAAUUGGAACAAUACAGGGAAGAUUAGCAUGGUCCCUGCUCAAGGAUGACAUGCAAAUUCGUGAAGCGUUUCAUAUUUUU